AGUGAACGCUGGCGGUAGGCCUAACACAUGCAAGUCGAACGGCAGCACAGUAAGAGCUUGCUCUUACGGGUGGCGAGUGGCGGACGGGUGAGGAAUACAUCGGAAUCUACUUUUUCGUGGGGGCUAACGUAGGGAAACUUACGCUAAUACCGCAUACGACCUACGGGUGAAAGCAGGGGAUCUUCGGACCUUGCGCGAUUGAAUGAGCCGAUGUCGGAUUAGCUAGUUGGCGGGGUAAAGGCCCACCAAGGCGUCGAUCCGUAGCUGGUCUGAGAGGAUGGUCGGCGACCUGGGAGGGUGGACACGGUCCAGGGUCCUACGGGAGGCAGCAGUGUCGAACAUGGGACAGUGGGCGCAAGCCUGAUCCAGCCAUCCCGCGUGGGUUGCGACGGCCCUCCGGUUGGAAUGCCCGUCUUUUGGGAAUGAACAGCAUCAGGUUAAUACGCAGCUGUUCUGACGGUACCCAAAGAAUAAGCACCGGCUAACUUCGUG
rnacentral:rRNA from 1 species